GGAGUUCGGAUGGAGUCUUCCUUUAGUCACAGUCGGAGAUGGAGCCCGGCUCCCGUAGGAGUCCGGGUGGAGUCUUCCUGCAAUUAAAGUAAGGUGUGAAGUCUGGCUCCUGUAGGAGUCCGGACGGAGCUUACCAGCAGUUGAAGUUGGCGACAGAGCCCGGCUCCCGUAGGAGUCCGGGCGGAGUCCUCCUUGUGGUUGAUGUCGUGGGUGGAGCCCGGCUCC
rnacentral:lncRNA from 1 species